rnacentral:rRNA from 1 species
AGAAUCAACGCUGGCGGCGUGCCUCAGACAUGCAAGUCGAACGCGAAAGUCCCCUUCGGGGGACAAGUAGAGUGGCGCACGGGUGAGUAACACGUAGGUAACCUACCUUCGGAUGGGGAAUAACAACCGGAAACGGAUGCUAAUACCGCAUAAUGCAGCGGCACCUAAUGGUGACAGUUGUUAAAGCGGGGGAUCGAAAGACCUCGCGUCUGAAGAGGAGCCUGCGGCGGAUUAGCUAGUUGGUAAGGUAAUGGCUUACCAAGGCUACGAUCCGUAACC